CAGGAUGCUGCAGUUAAUGUCCUCCAUCUACGUACGUGGGUCUGUAUGCACACAUACACACUCCUAGACCUGAUUGCUGGAUGAGACCUUGUGCAUCCUACAACCUGUGAUCGAUUACUGCCAGAGUGCCUGCACUUUACGCUCUCAUCAUCUGCAUGUGAAAGGGACUGAAGGAAGGCCAUCUGAGUACGUGGGGCCCUACCUGUGUUCUCCGUGCACCACACUCAGGUUUGGGAAGAGAAGAGAACUUUGGAGCAAGGAAUGUAUUCACUUAAGCUUGAGAUGGAAGGUGUCUCCUCUGCCAUGGUGUCAGCGGGACCCAAAAGUGUCCCCACACUUCCCAAGCCUCUGGUGCUUCGCCUGCAGAAUGGGAAUGAAAAUACUGCCGUGCCUGCUGCGCAGGGAGCUGGAAAAGCCACGUGGGCUCAUGCUGGUUCACAACAAGGAGGGUCUGGGACUGCGGCCUUCCUUGGAAGCUGACCAGGGAGCCUGCUGGUUCCGCGGCUGCCAGUGGAAGACACCAGACUCUCAGGUCAGAGAUGAAGGACUGUGCUCCUCACGGCUCUAGCAGGGGGCAGGAGGCAGCGUUUCUUACCCCCAUCCCCAAACCCCAGGUCCCACAGGGCCAUAUGAGGCCUGCCCGAGGGACAGGACCCUGAGUUCAGGAAGCCCCCUGCGUUGACCCUGGGCAGUGAGCCCAUCCGAGCUCUGCCCCACAGGGACAUAUUCUCUUCCUUCUCCUGUGCAGUAAACAGACCUGCCUUAUGUGCACACAGCGCUGCUUCUGUCUUCCUAGGCUGGUCACUCUGCAGACACCCGCUGGUGCCAAGCAACGUCCAGAACAAAGUAGUCAGCCCAUCUGUGGGCACACGGGACAGAAGGGCAGGAGACCCGUGGGGAAUUGUCUCCCCACAAAAGGGCUGUGUGAAGGGUGACCGGGGGACACAUAGAGGAUCCUACUUCAUUGACUCUGGAAAUUGCCCCGAGAGGAGGGCAGGAGAGGCGGAAAUCACCAUUUUACCACUUGUCUGGCUUGGGAGCCUGGGGUAGGAAGGGGUUAAGUAUUUGCUCAGGGCCCCCCAGCCCCUUGGUGAACUGGCAUGUCUAACACUGAGAAGUCUAGACUCCAGGCCACUGGCAAGCUGGUCUCUCAUUCAUUCAUCCCCACUACAAUCUACAAAUUGUAACGCCUGGGAGCACUCGGCAGUCACCGCCGUUAGAAUAUUCUGAAGCUUCCAAGUCAGAGCUCAUUUGAAAACAGGUGAUAUGGGCACGAAAUAAGUGGGCUCUGUUCUGGGUUAUCAGAAUGAUUUGUGGGGUUGCCCUGACCUGCCAACUUUCGUGUCAGAGGGAUAAUCGAGAGCUCACAGACACCCAGGAGCAGUCAGGCCCCAGGGGGAUGUGCGAGGUGAGCCUGCCUG
rnacentral:lncRNA from 1 species